rnacentral:misc_RNA from 1 species
GUUUUUUUCGCUUUCUUGGAAACACGACUAUAAUGGAAAGUGAUAUAGAAAACCUGAUGAUGGAUAUCCACUGCAUGCACACUGUUUGGAUACUGACUUACUUUGGUCGUUAAGUUUCAAGGCUAUCUAGUUUUAUCACUGAAUACGUCCUAGCCAUUAUUUCUUACUAAACUAUUUCAAAAUCGCAUUGAAUGAGAAAACUAUUCUCCCGCGCAGUGUCAACAAGAAACACUCGCCAAGAUGUUUUCGAUUUUCCUUUUGAUGUCCCUGUGGCUUUCAGCAUUGUGCCAGGGAAGGUAUCCUAAAAUUGUUUCUGGACCAAGCGAUCCCCUGAUUGUCCGUAGAGAAGACAAAGCUACGCUUAACUGGACGCUUGGACUGCCUCCGUCAGAGACAUGGAACAGUAGCAUAUUUGAAGUAGUGUUUGGAAUCUGGAAACCUCCAGGAUUCCUGAAAACAAAACUGUUGGCCAUCGAUAGAUAUGGUGAGGUACUAAUACGACCAAACUAUGAGAAGAAAAUUAGCUGCGACUUUAACAUGACCAAUCUUCGAGUUGCAUUCAUACUCCAUGAUUUGAACAUGAAGGACGAGAAUGAUUACUGUCUUCAGGUGGAGCUUGGUCUUCAUCAGUCUCCUUUGACGGAUCCUGUAAAGCUUCUUCUCGAGGAUUCUCCUAAAAUAAUCAGUCCAAAAAAGAGAAACUUUUCCAUAAACAUUGGGGACAACUUGCGUAUAAAAAGCAAGGCAAAGGGACUUCCUACACCAAACAUAACAUGGACGAGACAGGGGCGAAUUUUCGUUAAGGAUACAUUGGUUCUAAAGGGAGUAACGUCAAACGACAGCGGAGUCUACCUGUGCAGCGCUCAUAGUCAGGCUGGUGAAGACCAUAAGGAGAUUUUGGUUACAGUUAUGGAGCAUAAAUAUGGAUCGAAAAAGCCAGCAGUUCCUCAUAUUGCAACGCGAACAUCUUCUGAUGGAAGCCCUGUAUGGUUAUUUCCAGUAGUCAUAGCUGUAUCAGUUUCUGUAAUAGCUGUAGUGGUCGUCUUUGGCUUGCGUGGGCGCCACUGCAAAAGGAAUAUCCGUUAUGAGCAGCACAUUGACAUACAAGCAUCACACUCCACAACUGCCACCAUCUAGCCUAAGGCCGAGCUGUCUUUUCAACGAACGAUCAGUCGAAAACGCGGAAUGUGCCUUCGAACUUAAAGGAAUAAAGAAAGUUACAUGCAGGUUGAAUUUCAUUAUGAUUUGGCCCGAUCAUGGACAACAAAUGAUACUCUGCAUUUUAAUUAAGCAUUGCUAACUAAGAUAAAUUUUCAUCCAGUUUGGUUUGCUUUCCGUUUUUGGCAUAAACACAGCAUAGGAGUCGAAACGGUUUCGGAAGAAUGCUCAAGCAUUUACAUGUAGGAGGGUCUCAGUGGGGGGGAGGGAGUCACGUUGAAGGUUGGCGGUUAAAAAUAAGCCCUUUUGACGGUUGACAGUUAAACUGUUUAGGUAAUUGGACGGUUGAUGGUUAAUAUUUUGGAAUAUCGUUUAUAAAACGAAUUAAAUGCGCGAAUUUGGCCGCGUUUGUAAAGAACUGUUAAUUUAUAACACCUUUUAUUAAUGGUGAAUGACUAACGUUUUACGACACUGGAAGUGUUUCCACACCGUAAGUCAGUUCUGUCGCUAACCUGUUUUACUCACGACUAUAAGUUGAAGGACUUAUAUAAAUCUAUUUUUGUGAUAUAUCAACACUUUUAUUUAUAAACAACAGAACUUGACCCCAAUUAAGGCAAUCGUUUAGCUUUUAAUUAAGGAUAUUUGAGACAUUUGACGACCAGCAUUGGCUUAUUUAUUAUUGUUUGACGGUUUACGGUUAAUAUUGGCCAUUUGACGGUUGACGGUUAACCCCAUUGAGACCCUCCUGUAGAUGUGUGAAUCAUUGAAAUAUGUGAAGCCUUACCAAAAACCCAUUAAAUUUCGCUGAAGAGACGCCCAAAUGAGUUUUAAGAACUUUGUUUAGUCUCCAUCUAAAUCAAGCUCCUGUUUCUUGACAAUCACAGGUAGACAGGAUGUGCUAUGAAGAAGACACUUUUCGGAAUUUCAUUAGUUGGCGCGUCAGUUUAAAGGCCUAAAAGUCAUUCGCAUUCUUGUAAGAGUAACACGGCAGUCAAAAAUUUUCUACGAAUCUCGUCUGGCAAUCUCAAACGAAUUUAAAAAUUAUUCUCGUCUUUUAGUAGACGAAAUAUCCGAAUAGUGCAUGCUAUAAAAUCGGAAAUUUCCGCAGAAAACCUCAUGCAAACCACUUGAGAGCGUUUCUUGUUUGCGCCGAAACUUCAAGCGAUUCUAAGAAUUAGUUAUAGGAGCGGAUUUUCCGAGCUUUUGAAUACUAAAAAAAAAGCGCUAGGUUCACGGUUCUCAAUUCAGUUGAUUCAACUUUUUUGCGGCGUCAAGAACCUGCCUGAAAAGAGUGAUCUCACAGUACGCUGAGGUACGGUUAUUUCGUUUAGUAUGAUAUUAACACAAUUCUUCGAAUCAUUUGACAUUUGUAAACAAACAUCUGAUACUCUUAAAAGGCUUAGAGUAACCGUCCAGUGAAGGCUAUGGCCGCCGGGCUUUCAGUCACUUCAGGGCAUUCACGGAAAUUCCGAAAAAAAGCAUUGUCACGGUCGUGAUUGUUCUCACGGCCGGAAUUUUAGAAAACGCUUACUUGGCAUACUUUUCAUGUGGCUGCAUUGACUCAAAGUGGCUGACAUGGAUCUAUGUUUGCACCAGCUUUUCUUCGGAAGUUUAUGCAUGGUAACAUUGCUUCAAGUGUCUUGCAGUAUAAACUUUACAAAUGACAAACCAAAGAGUCCGAUGAAGGCCACAGUGGACAAGGAUGUCACUUUAGGCUGGAGCUUUUUAUACAACGAUUCGGGAGGCAAUCCUGCCGGCCCAUUUGGUGCCCCUGAUGUGCACGAAAUCGCCUUUGGCAUCUAUAAAUCAAUACAUAAUGGGAACUUCAUGACCAAGAAGCUUGUUGUUGUAGACAGUGGUGGAAAUUUUGAGGUGCGAGACGGAUAUGAUAGCAAAAUGGGUUGGAGCUACUCCAAAUACAGACUAACAUUCACUCUUAAAAACUUUGCUAUUCAAGAUCAGGCGUUGUAUGGAGUGAAUGUUGAGCUUGGCUUGAGUUAGAUGCCACUCAAGCAUUCUGUGAUUGUUACCACAGGACCCUCAUACGUGGUUCAACAUGGCAGCUCGAUCAUCCGUAAUGAGUCAGCCUACAUAAUGGAGGAUUUUGACCUAUCGUUUACAAGAUUAAUACAGGACCGAAUUGUUGGCCGUGCCAAGUACACACUCUCCAAAAAUAACGUAGCCAUUCUCAUUAUUGGAAAGGACAGAGUAGACAAAAAGUUCAGUUGCUAUCAAGUUACUGAAAUCCCCAGUACACCCUGUCCUGUUGAUGACUUCUCAGUGAACGAAACUUACGUUUAUUUUAAACUAAGAAAUGUAAGUUUACAAGAUGCUGGUCGAUACCUCUGUGAAAAGUUUCUUCCGAGGCUCCAUGAUACGAUAUUGGAGGAAAUCAAUCUUAAUGUACAAGAAAGACCAACCGUAAAAAUAACAAAUGAUGAGACAUCAACUCCCAGGGUAAAGAGCAGUUAUUCCGUCACGAUACCAUCUGGGGUGAGCACUGUGUCUCCGGGUGUUCAAAGAAUAUCUGAAAAGCCACCAGUCAGAGGUAAUGAGGUUUUAGUGGUAUUCACUGUAGCAUUGAUCAUUAUGUCCGUACCGUGACUACUUUGGUUUGGAGUUAAUUAAUGCAUUUUCUCUCCGGAGAGAGCAACAUGGACAAGAAAAUGACCUGUUAGAUAAUUAAGCAAUAAAGUACACUUUCUAUCGGUUUACUGGCUGAUAAACCGUGCCUGAAUGUUGCGAGGACAUGAGGAAAGUAUGUAAACCACGAGGCGCUGCCUGGUGGUGGCAAAUAAUUCUUCACAAGAGCACUUAGACUGGAGUAUUAAUUUAUAU